rfam:Ovis aries breed Texel chromosome 10, whole genome shotgun sequence.
CCUGAUAUCUGAGCUGGUAAAGAAUCUGCCUUCAAUGCAGGAGACCCUGGUUCAAUUCCUGGGUCAGGA